rnacentral:rRNA from 1 species
GGCCGCGGGAAUUCGAUUGGAUCGCCCUUAGAGUUUGAUCAUGGCUCAGAACGAACGCUGGCGGCGUGCCUAACACAUGCAAGUCGAACGGGGUUGAGGGGCUUGCUCCUCAAUCUAGUGGCGCACGGGUGAGUAACGCGUAGAUAAUCUGCCUUAGACUUUGGGAUAACAUCUCGAAAGGGGUGCUAAUACCGGAUAAGCCCACGGUAGCGUAAGUUAUUGCGGGAAAAGGGGGCCUCUGAAUAUGCUCUUGAUCUAAGAUGAGUCUGCGUACCAUUAGCUAGUUGGUAGGGUAAGAGCCUACCAAGGCGACGAUGGUUAGCUGGUCUGAGAGGAUGAUCAGCCACACUGGAACUGAGACACGGUCCAGACUCCUACGGGAGGCAGCAGUGGGGAAUUUUGCGCAAUGGGGGAAACCCUGACGCAGCAACGCCGCGUGAGUGAUGAAGGCUUUCGGGUCGUAAAGCUCUGUCGAGAGGGAAGAAAUGAUAAGUGGUUAAUACCCAUUUUUCUUGACGGUACCUCUGAAGGAAGCACCGGCUAACUCCGUGCCAGCAGCCGCGGUAAUACGGAGGGUGCAAGCGUUGUUCGGAUUUAUUGGGCGUAAAGCGCGUGUAGGCGGUUUGUUAAGUCUGAUGUGAAAGCCCCGGGCUCAACCUGGGAAGUGCAUUGGAAACUGGCAGACUUGAAUACGGGAGAGGGUAGUGGAAUUCCUAGUGUAGGAGUGAAAUCCGUAGAUAUUAGGAGGAACACCGGUGGCGAAGGCG